rnacentral:rRNA from 1 species
GUGGGGAAUAUUGGACAAUGGGCGAAAGCCUGAUCCAGCCAUGCCGCGUGUGUGAAGAAGGUCUUCGGAUUGUAAAGCACUUUAAGUUGGGAGGAAGGGCAGUAAGUUAAUACCUUGCUGUUUUGACGUUACCGACAGAAUAAGCACCGGCUAACUUCGUGCCAACAGCCGCGGUAAUACGAAGGGUGCAAGCGUUAAUCGGAAUUACUGGGCGUAAAGCGCGCGUAGGUGGUUUUGUAAGUUGGAGGUGAAAUCCCCGGGCUCAACCUGGGAACUGCCUCAAAAACUGCAUGACUAGAGUACGGUAGAGGGUAGUGGAAUUUCCUGUGUAGCGGUGAAAUGCGUAGAUAUAGGAAGGAACACCAGUGGCGAAGGCGACUACCUGGACUGAUACUGACACUGAGGUGCGAAAGCGUGGGGAGCAAACAGGAUUAGAUACCACGGUAGUCC